ACUACCUUCUUACUGAUUGACCAUAGAUAGCCCUAGACACCAUUGACUACCUUCUGCAAAGUCAAUGAAUUAGUUUCCACUAUAAAUGCUAACAUCGUAUUUUCCACACAAUAUUCUAGCCCCUUCUGAAUAGCUAAAGUCUCAGUUUUCAAACAUUAAGUAUAGGGAAUGCAUUUAGAUUUUUCAUGAACUAAAUUCCCUUGACAAUCCCUUAUUCAAAAUACAAUAGUGUUGUAGUCUAUGUUGUAUCUAACUGAGGCAUUAGUAUUGCAUUUGUAGUAACCUCUAGAUGGUAAAUCCCAUCUUACAACCUGGCAAUUCCUCCUCCCAACUUCCCUGGUGUUUUCCAAUUUGUCAAUCAAUAAUGGCCAGCUGUUCGGGAGAUCUGUUAUUGUAAGGAACUUGAAUUUCACAAAAAGGUACAUAUUUUGAUUAAUAUCAUGAAUUACCCUAUGCCUAGAAAUACUUUCUCUAUGUAAAAUACAGUUCCUUCUCUUCCUUAAUUUCCAUAAAAAAAAAGUUAGGGCCACCUAUAUUAAUGGUUUAACGCUAGGGAAACUUUCUUCUUGCCAC
rnacentral:lncRNA from 1 species